GCUUAACACAUGCAAGUCGAGGGGCAGCAUGGUCUUAGCUUGCUAAGGCCGAUGGCGACCGGCGCACGGGUGAGUAACACGUAUCCAACCUGCCGUCUACUCUUGGACAGCCUUCUGAAAGGAAGAUUAAUACAAGAUGGCAUCAUGAGUCCGCAUGUUCACAUGAUUAAAGGUAUUCCGGUAGACGAUGGGGAUGCGUUCCAUUAGAUAGUAGGCGGGGUAACGGCCCACCUAGUCUUCGAUGGAUAGGGGUUCUGAGAGGAAGGUCCCCCACAUUGGAACUGAGACACGGUCCAAACUCCUACGGGAGGCAGCAGUGAGGAAUAUUGGUCAAUGGGCGAGAGCCUGAACCAGCCAAGUAGCGUGAAGGAUGACUGCCCUAUGGGUUGUAAACUUCUUUUAUAAAGGAAUAAAGUCGGGUAUGGAUACCCGUUUGCAUGUACUUUAUGAAUAAGGAUCGGCUAACUCCGUGCCAGCAGCCGCGGUAAUACGGAGGAUCCGAGCGUUAUCCGGAUUUAUUGGGUUUAAAGGGAGCGUAGAUGGAUGUUUAAGUCAGUUGUGAAAGUUUGCGGCUCAACCGUAAAAUUGCAGUUGAUACUGGAUAUCUUGAGUGCAGUUGAGGCAGGCGGAAUUCGUGGUGUAGCGGUGAAAUGCUUAGAUAUCACGAAGAACUCCGAUUGCGAAGGCAGCCUGCUAAGCUGCAACUGACAUUGAGGCUCGAAAGUGUGGGUAUCAAACAGGAUUAGAUACCCUGGUAGUCCACACGGUAAACGAUGAAUACUCGCUGUUUGCGAUAUACAGCAAGCGGCCAAGCGAAAGCGUUAAGUAUUCCACCUGGGGAGUACGCCGGCAACGGUGAAACUCAAAGGAAUUGACGGGGGCCCGCACAAGCGGAGGAACAUGUGGUUUAAUUCGAUGAUACGCGAGGAACCUUACCCGGGCUUAAAUUGCAGAUGAAUUACGGUGAAAGCCGUAAGCCGCAAGGCAUCUGUGAAGGUGCUGCAUGGUUGUCGUCAGCUCGUGCCGUGAGGUGUCGGCUUAAGUGCCAUAACGAGCGCAACCCUUGUUGUCAGUUACUAACAGGUUCCGCUGAGGACUCUGACAAGACUGCCAUCGUAAGAUGUGAGGAAGGUGGGGAUGACGUCAAAUCAGCACGGCCCUUACGUCCGGGGCUACACACGUGUUACAAUGGGGGGUACAGAGGGCCGCUACCACGCGAGUGGAUGCCAAUCCCCAAAACCUCUCUCAGUUCGGACUGGAGUCUGCAACCCGACUCCACGAAGCUGGAUUCGCUAGUAAUCGCGCAUCAGCCACGGCGCGGUGAAUACGUUCCCGGGCCUUGCACACACCGCCC
rnacentral:rRNA from 1 species